AGUGAACGCUGGCGGUAGGCCUAACACAUGCAAGUCGAACGGCAGCACAGUAAGAGCUUGCUCUUACGGGUGGCGAGUGGCGGACGGGUGAGGAAUACACCGGAAUCUACUUUUUCGUGGGGGAUAACGUAGGGAAAAUUACGCUAAUACCGCAUACGACAUCCGGGUGAAAGCAGGGGUUCUUCGGACCUUGCGCGAUUGAAUGAGCCGAUGUCGGAUUAGCUAGUUGGCGGGGUAAAGGCCCACCAAGGCGACGAUCCGUGGCUGGUCGGAGAGGAGGGUCAGCCACCCUGGAACUGAGACACGGUCCAGACUCCUACGGGAGGCAGCAGUGGGGAAUAUUGGACUAGGGGCGCGAGCCUGAUCCGGCCCUGCCGCGUGGGUGGAGGAGGCCUUCGGGUUGUAAAGCCCUUCUGUUGGGAAAGAAAAGCAGCAAGUUAAUACCCCGCUGUUCUGACGGUACCCAAUGAAUAAGCACCGGCUAACUUCGUG
rnacentral:rRNA from 1 species